AGGCGAUGCGCAGGAGUGGGGAGGCGCGCAGGAGUGGGGAGCCAAGCCGGCGGGGUUCCAGUCUAGCAGGCUGUUCUCACUUGGCCCCACUCCCUCCACCUUUUGUGUUCCAGCUCCAUAAUCUGCUCCCUGAGGAAAGGGGGCUCGUCCCUUGGGGAAGCACCUCCAACUCCCCCAUCCCCAUUUGGUGGCAUUCUAAGCAAGCAACGGCUUCGGGAGAGCUGCCUCGAGAGCCUGAGAGAAGUCCCGCUUAGAAGCUGGGCUGGGCAGGGAAAGGGUGAGGAAAGGCUCUCUGGGCAAACAGUUCCAGGACUGCCACAACACACUGUGCUCUUUCAUCAUGGCAUGGCCAGUCCCUCACAUGAGAUGUCAAUAGGCCUGGAGCACGAGGAGACUCCAAUGAGAACGUCACAAGGGUAAUCCAGUUCUGCCCCUACUUUCUUGGCCUUACCAGCUCAGCAUGAGACCUCCAAGGAGACGUGAACUCCCUCUGGCUGCACGGGCCUGGGCAUACCUUCUCACUCUUCUGAAGCUGAAGGGCUCACCCCAUUGCCUCCCCAAGAAGCAGGUCUCUCCAGACAAACCAUCUUUCUCCUACUUGGCAAUACCCAAGGAGCAGACCAUAUUUGUUCAGGCAAUGAAUUUUCUGGCAAACUCUAUUUGAUUUACAUGCAAAACUUCACAUCUCAAACAAACAAACAAAAAACCCAGUCAUGUCUGGACGCUGCUGGUUUUUUCCAGCUGAACAAGACCUGGAUUUUGUUGGUUAUAGAUGUAAUUCCAGAGGGAGGUGAGUAGAUACAUAAAUAACAACUGGCCUUGUUCAAAGAUGCCAGACCCUCUGACAUGAAUGACCCAAGUUCGUCUCUUGGGAGAGUCUUUCUCCUGCACUGCCCUUCAUCCUGUAGGAGCUGGAGAAAACUUUCCACUCCAGAUGGAAGUGUCCUGGGGGAGAGGAUGGAAGGGAGGCUGGGUGGGCAGUUUGUAGUCAGGUUCUAGCCACAGUAGUGAGCAGUGGGGGAAGGCAAGCGGCCCUCUGUAUCCAUUCACAUAUUUUUCAAAGCCUCACGAGCGUUUUCACAAAGUCUGGCAAUGACAUUUUAAAAGGAAUUUAUAAAGCAUCAUCGCAGUUGCCACCACAAUAGGGCGUGGGAUCUAAGACAGGACCAUGUCUCCCACAGCCUCUUUUCCUUCUUCUUUCAGGAAAGAUGAAAACCCAUGCCAGGGACAGGUCCAGAUGGCAGGAGUUUUCUCUUUGCUUUGGCUUCCCUGGGCAUAGCCCACUCUUGCCAGGGAUCUACGAUCACCUGUAAUCUACCUUCCCGAGGAGCAGUGAUGGAUUGCUGGGGGCUGCCUCACCUCAUGGCAGGCAAAUGGAAGAAAGCUGUUCUCGCCUUAGGAAAGAAAGAUUUAACUAAUGUACCCACCUUCUUACAGUAAAUAUCUCUGUCUUAAAAAAAAUUUUAAUUGUGGUAAAAUACACAUAAAAUUUAUAAUCUUAACCAUUUUUCAGUAUACAAUUCAGUAGUGUUAAGGCUAUUCAUGGUAUUGUAUGACCCAUCUCCAGAAUGUUUCUGUCUUGCAAAACUGAAACUCUGUUUCCAUUAAACAACUCCCUGUGAAUAUGUGUGUCUGUGUGUGUCUGGCUAUAUAUUUGUGAGUGUAUAUGUCUGUCUGCAUGUGACUGUGCACACAUCUGUGUGAG
rnacentral:lncRNA from 10 species